GAGUCCAUAUGAAUUUUUAUUAACACACAUUUUUCAAAGUCUGUACAAACCAAAACAUUCCUGUGUUUUAAAAUGUCCAUUAUUACAAACAUACAAAUAAACAAAAGGUGUUACCAAAAGUUAGCUACUCAAUUUUAUGGUAAAACAGUAUCAUGAUUUUUAAAAACCAAAAUUUCAAGACAGAGGUUUCUUCCUUCUCUUUUUGGAACUCGUGGAAAGUUAGAAAAUGUAUGGAUUUGCUUUAUAUUAAAUGCCAAGACCUUAAAAAAAGAUUUAGUAUAAAACUAAAUAUGUUUUUACAUUGUCACUUCAGGUAACAGAAUUUCUCAAGUCCUUAGAAGAGAAAAUUACAUCCCCUACCAGAGUGAUAAGCAACAUGGUCCAUUGUUCCUCGUAUCUGAAGGAAGCCACUCAUUUCCAUGUC
rnacentral:lncRNA from 1 species